AACGAACGCUGGCGGCAUGCCUAACACAUGCAAGUCGAACGAGACCUUCGGGUCUAGUGGCGCACGGGUGCGUAACGCGUGGGAACCUGCCCUUAGGUUCGGAAUAACUCCCCGAAAGGGGUGCUAAUACCGGAUAAUGUCUUCGGACCAAAGAUUUAUCGCCUUUGGAUGGGCCCGCGUUGGAUUAGCUAGUUGGUAGGGUAAAAGCCUACCAAGGCGACGAUCCAUAGCUGGUCUGAGAGGAUGAUCAGCCACACUGGGACUGAGACACGGCCCAGACUCCUACGGGAAGCAGCAGUGGGGAAUAUUGGACAAUGGGCGAAAGCCUGAUCCAGCAAUGCCGCGUGAGUGAUGAAGGCCUUAGGGCUGUAAAGCUCUUUUACCCGGGAUGAUAAUGACAGUACCGGGAGAAUAAGCUCCGGCUAACUCCGUG
rnacentral:rRNA from 1 species